AGCGAACGCUGGCGGCAGGCCUAACGCAUGCAAGUCGAGCGCCGUCUCUAUACGGAGCGGCAGACGGGUUAGUAACACGUGGGAACGUGCCCUUUGGUUCGGAAUAACUCAGGGAAACUUGAGCUAAUACCGGAUAAGCCCUUACGGGGAAAGAUUUAUUGCCAUUGGAGCGGCCCGCGUCGGAUUAGCUAGUUGGUGAGGUAAUGGCUCACCAAGGCGACGAUCCGUAGCUGGUCUGAGAGGAUGACCAGCCUCACUGGGACUGAGACACGGCCCAGACUCCUACGGGAGGCAGCAGUGGGGAAUAUUGGACAAUGGGCGCAAGCCUGAUCCAGCCAUGCCGCGUGGAUGAUGAAGGCCCUAGGGUUGUAAAGCCCUUUUAACGGGGAAGAUAAUGACGGUACCCGUAGAAUAAGCCCCGGCUAACUUCGUGCCAGCCGCCGCGGUAACAC
rnacentral:rRNA from 1 species